CAGCCUGCCCAGUGACCCUGUUCAACGGCCGCGGUAUUCUGACCGUGCGAAGGUAGCGUAAUCACUUGUUCUUUAAUUGUGGACUAGUAUGAACGGCACCACGAGGGUUAUACUGUCUCCUUUCUCCAAUCAGUGAAACUGAUCUCUCCGUGAAGAAGCGGAGAUAAAUAUAUAAGACGAGAAGACCCUAUGGAGCUUCAAACUAAUUUACACCUGCCCUUGCAAAACAAAUUUGAGAAAAUAAAAUAUAACCAGGCAUAGUGUUUAAAAGGUUUUUGGUUGGGGCAACCGCGGAGUAAAAACCACCCUCCGCAUUGUAUGAGAUUUUCUUUAGCUAAAAUACACAAAUUUAAGCAUCAAAAAAUUGACAUUAUUGACCCAAUAUUUUGAUCAACGAACCAAGUUACCCUAGGGAUAACAGCGCAAUCCACUUUAAGAGUUCAUAUCGACAAGUGGGCUUACGACCUCGAUGUUGGAUCAGGGUAUCCUAGUGGUGCAGCCGCUACUAAAGGUUUGU
rnacentral:rRNA from 1 species